CAGAGUUGCAAAACUCCCACAAACCAUCACGAAUCUUACCCAUACGGUUGCCUCGGCGCUGGCGGUCCGGAAGGCCCUCGGGCCCCCGGAUCCUCGGGUCUCCCGCUCGCGGGAGGCUGCCCGCCGGAGUGCCGAAACUAAACUCUUGAUAUCUUAUGUCUCUCUGAGUACACUUUUAAAUAAGUCA
rnacentral:misc_RNA from 1 species